rnacentral:sRNA from 1 species
CCUCUUCGGCCUGCUGCGGGCAGAUCCAGUGAAUGUGGGUAUCCACUCCGCCUGCGGUGACGAUCUUGCCUUCGGCGGCAAUCACCUCGGUGGCCGCGCCAAUGGAGAUGGUCACGCCGGGCUGAAUAUCCGGGUUACCGGCUUUACCGACGGCGACGAUCCUGCCGUCCUUCACGCCGAUAUCGGCUUUGACGAUCCCCCAGUGAUCGACGAUCAGGGCGUUGGUCAGAACCAGAUCCACGCAGUCCCGGGCGGUCAUCUGCCCCUGGCCCAUGCCGUCGCGG